CCUACGGGAGGCAGCAGUGAGGAAUAUUGGUCAAUGGGAGAGAUCCUGAACCAGCCAAGCCGCGUGAGGGAAGACGGCCCUAUGGGUUGUCAACCUCUUUUGUCGGAGAACAAAACCCGGGACGUGUCCCGGACUGCGUGUAUCCGAAGAAAAAGCAUCGGCUAACUCCGUGCCAGCAGCCGCGGUAAUACGGAGGAUGCGAGCGUUAUCCGGAUUUAUUGGGUUUAAAGGGUGCGUGGGCGGUCCGUUCAGGCAGCGGUAAAAGUGCGGGGCUCAACCCCGUCGAGCCGUUGAAACUGGCAGACUUGAGUUGGCGAGAAGUACGCGGAAUGCGCGGUGUAGCGGUGAAAUGCAUAGAUAGCGCGCAGAACUCCGAUUGCGAAGGCAGCGUACCGGCGCCAGACUGACGCUGAGGCACGAAAGCGUGGGGAUCGAACAGGAUUAGAUACCCGGGUAGUC
rnacentral:rRNA from 1 species